GGCAGGGGAGUUGAGACUGGACAGGAUAUCUGCACACACAGGAUGCAUUAUCAGAGGCUUGUGAGGAAACACGAUUAUAACAACAUGGCAGACCUGGAAAUCCCUCAGCAGUACCCACAGGAAAAUCUGGAGAUAUGCCAGGGCUGCUUUGCCUUGGCCCUCAAUGACUGCCAAAAAAACAGAUGCUAUUGCUUGAGAAAUAUUCUACAACUGCCCAGCUUCAAUGCCCUUCAAUUUCCAUCCAUCAUAAAGCCUCUCAAACAACACAGAAUGAAGACAAAUAUGGGGACUUUGAAUUCAUGAACACCAGAAUCAUGCUAAUGAACCAAAUUCAUACCUAUGAGGAAAUGUACAGAUCUAUUAAACAUAAAUUCCACAUUGAUCAUAUCAAUAUGAACUGUGCACUUCUAAUCAAUACUGACAGAGGGGGACGGAGGUGCCGACGGUGACCUAAGAGCACAGGUUGUGUGCAGUGACCUGAGGGACCAAGAGAAAGCACGGAGGGCUGUAUUGUGAUUGUGGUAACUGAGGUCAAAAUGAAUACUUGUGGACAAAUCACACAAUAUUCGUGAUUAAAUGGAGCAUCACUUGGGCUCUGGCCACUCAUUUAAAGUCAGUGUCGUGCGCUCUUUCUAGGCUAUAUUUUAAUAGGCUGUUCCUUCACACAUUUUUGACAUUUAUAAUAAUCAUGCUGUUUUGCAUGAACUUUUCCACACUGAAAACUGAAUGUAUAAUGAAGAGACGGUGUCGAAAGAAUCGCAGUAACAGCGGUAGUCAACUGGAAAGCAACUAAACCUCUUUGUUUUUUUCUGCAUGGACACCAAUACCUGGAGCCUCCUGAUGCCCCUGCUUCCCUGGGACGCAUCCUGCCUGCCACACGAAGUGCUGCUCAGCUGGCCCAAUG